GACGAACGCUGGCGGCGUGCUUAACACAUGCAAGUCGAACGGAAAGGCCUGCUUUCCCUUGUGGAUUGCGGGUACUCGAGUGGCGAACGGGUGAGUAACACGUGAGUGAUCUGCCCCCAACUUGGGUAUAAGCCUGGGAAACUGGGUCUAAUUCCCGAUAGGACUGCAGGGUGGUGCCUGUGGUGGAAAACGAUUUUCUAGUGGUUGGGGAUGAGCUGACGGCCUAUCAGCUAGUUGGUGGGGUAAUGGCCUACCAAGGCGACGGCGGGUAGCCGGCCUGAGAGGAGGGGCAGGCACACGGGAAGUGAGACACGGUACAGACGCGUACGGGAGGCAGCAGUGGGGAAGAUGGGACAAUGGGCGCAAGCGUGAGCCAGACACACCGCGGGGGGGAAGAAGGGCUGCGGGUUGGAAAGCCCGUGGGGGGGGAAAGAAAAGCAGCAGGGUAAGACCCCGCUGGGCUGACGGUACCCAAAGAAUAAGCACCGGCUAACUUCGUG
rnacentral:rRNA from 1 species